AUUGAACGCUGGCGGAAUGCUUUACACAUGCAAGUCGAACGGCAGCACGGGGGCAGCCCUGGUGGCGAGUGGUGAACGGGUGAGUAAUACAUCGGAACGUGCCCGGUCGUGGGGGAUAACGUAGCGAAAGUUACGCUAAUACCGCAUACGAUCUGAGGAUGAAAGCGGGGGACCUUCGGGCCUCGCGCGAUCGGAGCGGCCGAUGUCAGAUUAGGUAGUUGGUGGGGUAAAGGCCUACCAAGCCGACGAUCUGUAGCUGGUCUGAGAGGACGACCAGCCACACUGGGACUGAGACACGGCCCAGACUCCUACGGGAGGCAGCAGUGGGGAAUUUUGGACAAUGGGCGCAAGCCUGAUCCAGCCAUUCCGCGUGCAGGACGAAGGCCUUCGGGUCGUAAACUGCUUUUGUACGGAACGAAAAGGCUCUGGCUAAUACCUGGGGCUCAUGACGGUACCGGAAGAAUAAGCACCGGCUAACUACGUG
rnacentral:rRNA from 1 species